CCUACGGGGGCUGCAGUGGGGAAUAUUGGACAAUGGGCGAAAGCCUGAUCCAGCCAUGCCGCGUGUGUGAAGAAGGCCUUCGGGUUGUAAAGCACUUUCAGUGGGGAAGAAAGCCUUGGGGCUAAUACCCUCGAGGAAGGACAUCACCCACAGAAGAAGCACCGGCUAACUCCGUGCCAGCAGCCGCGGUAAUACGGAGGGUGCGAGCGUUAAUCGGAAUUACUGGGCGUAAAGCGCGCGUAGGCGGUCUGAUAAGCCGGUUGUGAAAGCCCCGGGCUCAACCUGGGAACGGCAUCCGGAACUGUCAGGCUAGAGUGCAGGAGAGGAAGGUAGAAUUCCCGGUGUAGCGGUGAAAUGCGUAGAGAUCGGGAGGAAUACCAGUGGCGAAGGCGGCCUUCUGGACUGACACUGACGCUGAGGUGCGAAAGCGUGGGUAGCAAACAGGAUUAGAUACCGAUAGUC
rnacentral:rRNA from 1 species